rnacentral:tRNA from 1 species
GGGGUAUAGCUCAGUGGUAGAGCACAUGCUUAGCAUGCACAAGGUCCUGGGUUCAAUCCCCAGUACCUGCA